rnacentral:siRNA from 1 species
AGGAUGAGGUUCGCGGGAGUGUGC